GACCACUCAGUAUGAGUCCAAGGCCAUACGGACAGCCGGGUCCACUGCCGA
rnacentral:sRNA from 1 species